UACGUAGGUGACCAGCGUUGUCCGGAUUUACUGGGCGUAAAGAGCGCGCAGGCGGUCGUUCAAGUCGAGUGUGAAAGCCCCCGGCUCAACUGGGGAGGGUCACUCGAUACUGAUCGACUUGAAGGCAGGAGAGGGAAGCGGAAUUCCCGGUGUAGUGGUGAAAUGCGUAGAGAUCGGGAGGAAGACCGGUGGCGAAGGCGGCGCUCUGGAACAUUUCUGACGCUGAGGCUCGAAAGCGUGGGGAGCAAACAGG
rnacentral:rRNA from 1 species